rnacentral:ribozyme from 12 species
ACGAAGCAAGAGAUGAUGGAAUGACUUUCCUCAGAUAUUGUUCUCGUUUUUCCUUUUCUCUCUCCCUUUUUCCUUCUUUUCUUUUUUCGUUUUC